AAAACCUUAUUCAUCGACAUCUCUUCCACCGCCCUUCGCCACCUUCAUCGUUUUAUCUUCCACAAAUCUGAAAUUCUCAAUCGAUUCAUCUUACCCACAAAUAAAUAAAAAACCAACAGUUAUCAAACCUCAGAGCUUCCCCACUCCGUCUUCUUCAAAGUCCAAUUUAAUGGCCAUUUUCUCCAAAGUUAUCAACAGUUUCAGAAAUCAACCCUAUAAAAUCGACUACCCUCGCCGAUUAUACAACCAACCCAAAAAAUACAGAAGACCACCAUAAUCUAGAGAUGUCAAAAUCGAAACUACAUGCCCCUCCUCGGCCAUUCACCUUUCAGAUUUUUGAUACCAUUGAUGGAGACUUUUGCAAGGAAGACGUUUUAGUCUGCCUCAUCCAUUUUUGUGAAGCCCGAAACUUCAAGAAAGGAAACAUGCUUAUGGGCUUAGAACUGCUUCUCAUCGACUCUGAGUCAAGCGGUUUUUUAUAGUCAGGAUCAAUUUUAGGAAGUGAGUGGUUUGAUGUACAAAUAGCAGACAUGAUAGAGCUAUCAUAUGAUCCAUCUGAAAAGCCAAAUUUCAGAUUUGAUGUUUUGUUUCUAUCUACCUUUUAGAGUUUGUGGUGAUAACACAGAUUCAAAUAUUCAAUUUAGCAAAUUGAAUUAUUUACAAGGAGCUCUUCCAUCUUGAUGGUGAUGGAAUGGCUAACAUAGUUUUCCAGUUUAUUGAAGAGAGUGUGAAUCCAAUGGCUUCACUCCCAAUGUCAGCAAAAUUCAGUAUACAAGGAAGAAUAUGUGGUUGAGUUAUAUGUACAGUCGAUCCAAAUAUUUAAAUUGCUUUUCAUAUAACUUGUGGAUUGGUACUUUCGUUGCUUUCUGAAUCUGUCAAAGAAGAAGAUGGACAUGUUCAUGUUGAGGAAUGAGUCUUCGAUUAAACCUGCAAAGAAUAAGAACAAUCACUGUGAGGCAAAGAAUGAGAAGAAGAACAAUCACAUAAGAUUGGAAGUAAAACGACCAUGGGAGAAGAAGAUGCAGAGAGGAGUCAACUACAAGAAAAAAGAAGGUCAACCAACAAGACAAGUGAAAAUGUAGUGACUUUCGUUAAGCUGUAAUUAGUCUAAUUGUUUAGUUAGGCUCAAAUGAGUAAAAGUGUUGUGUUAGCUAAUGUCUAAAGUCUAAGCAAAGUUUUCGUGUGGUGGUUUAGUCUAAGCAUGAGUAGUGUGGCUUGUGUAAGAGCAUGGGAUCUAGAAGUAAGUACUAGAGUAUGGGUGCAAGUAGAAGAUGGAUGUGUGUGGGUUGUAAGAGACAUUCAAGUUAAUACAAUGUAGUCUUAAUUAAUGAGUAAAACGUUUUUUUCCUCU